rnacentral:rRNA from 1 species
AGAGUUUGAUCCUGGCUCAGAUUGAACGCUGGCGGCAGGCCUAACACAUGCAAGUCGAGCGGUAGCACAAGAGAGCUUGCUCUCUGGGUGACGAGCAGCGGACGGGUGAGUAAUGUCUGGGAAACUGCCUGAUGGCGGGGGAUAACUAGUGGAAACGGUAGCUAAUACCGCAUAACGUCGCAAGACCAAAGUGGGGGACCUUCGGGCCUCACGCCAUCAGAUGUGCCCAGGUGGGAUUAGCUGGUAGGUGGGGUAACGGCUCACCUAGGCGACGAUCCCUAGCUGGUCUGAGAGGAUGACCAGCCACACUGGAACUGAGACACGGUCCAGACUCCUACGGGAGGCAGCAGUGGGGAAUAUUGCACAAUGGGCGCAAGCCUGAUGCAGCCAUGCCGCGUGUGUGAAGAAGGCCUUCGGGUUGUAAAGCACUUUCAGCGAGGAGAAAGGGUAAUGUGUUAAUAAGACAUUGCAUUGACGUUACUCGCAGAAGAAGCACCGGCUAACUCCGUGCCAGCAGCCGCGGUAAUACGGAGGGUGCAAGCGUUAAUCGGAAUUACUGGGCGUAAAGCGCACGCAGGCGGUUUGUUAAGUCAGAUGUGAAAUCCCCGCGCUCAACGUGGGAACGGCAUUUGAGACUGGCAAGCUAGAGUCUUGUAGAGGGGGGUAGAAUUCCAGG